AGUAACAACCAUUUGAGUCUGGGAUUUCUGAAUGGGGAAACCCACUAGCAUAAGCUAGUAUCGUUGCGUGAAUACAUAGCGCAGCGAGGCGAACCGGGGGAACUGAAACAUCUAAGUACCCCGAGGAAAAGAAAUCAACCGAGAUUCCGAAAGUAGCGGCGAGCGAAAUUGGACUAGCCCUUAAGCUUUACACGCGUUAGACGAACGGUCUGGAAAGUCCGACGAUACAGGGUGAUAGUCCCGUAGUUGACGACGUGUGUUCAGUGAAAUCGAGUAGGGCGGGACACGUGAUAUCCUGUCUGAAUAUGGGGGGACCAUCCUCCAAGGCUAAAUACUACUGACUGACCGAUAGUGAACCAGUACCGUGAGGGAAAGGCGAAAAGAACCCCUGUGAGGGGAGUGAAAUAGAACCUGAAACCGUGUACGUACAAGCAGUAGGAGCAGGCUUUGUCCUGUGACUGCGUACCUUUUGUAUAAUGGGUCAGCGACUUAUAUUCAGUGGCAAGGUUAACCAUCUAGGGGAGCCGUAGGGAAACCGAGUCUUAACUGGGCGUUCAGUCUCUGGAUAUAGACCCGAAACCAGGUGAUCUAGCCAUGGGCAGGUUGAAGGUUGAGUAACAUCAACUGGAGGACCGAACCGACUAAUGUUGAAAAAUUAGCGGAUGACUUGUGGCUAGGGGUGAAAGGCCAAUCAAACCUGGAGAUAGCUGGUUCUCCCCGAAAGCUAUUUAGGUAGCGCCUCGGACGAAUACUACUGG
rnacentral:rRNA from 1 species